UGAGUGCUAAGUGUUAGAGGGUUUCCGCCCUUUAGUGCUGCAGCAAACGCAUUAAGCACUCCGCCUGGGGAGUACGGCCGCAAGGCUGAAACUCAAAGGAAUUGACGGGGGCCCGCACAAGCGGUGGAGCAUGUGGUUUAAUUCGAAGCAACGCGAAGAACCUUACCAGGUCUUGACAUCCUCUGACACUCCUAGAGAUAGGACGUUCCCCUUCGGGGGACAGAGUGACAGGUGGUGCAUGGUUGUCGUCAGCUCGUGUCGUGAGAUGUUGGGUUAAGUCCCGCAACGAGCGCAACCCUUGAUCUUAGUUGCCAGCAUUCAGUUGGGCACUCUAAGGUGACUGCCGGUGACAAACCGGAGGAAGGUGGGGAUGACGUCAAAUCAUCAUGCCCCUUAUGACCUGGGCUACACACGUGCUACAA
rnacentral:rRNA from 2 species